rnacentral:rRNA from 1 species
AUUGAACGCUGGCGGCAGGCCUAACACAUGCAAGUCGAACGAGUGGCGGACGGGUGAGUAACGUCUGGGAAAUUGCCCGAUGGAGGGGGUUAACUACUGAAAACGGUAGCUAAUACCGCAUACUAUCGGAUGUGCCCAGAUGGGAUUAGCUAGUAGGUGGGGUAACGGCUCACCUAGGCGACGAUCCCUUGAUGGUCUGAGAGGAUGACCAGCCACACUGGAACUUAGACACGGUCCAGACUCCUACGGGAGGCAGCAGUGGGGAAUAUUGCACAAUGGGCGCAAGCCUGAUGCAGCCAUGCCGCGUGUAUGAAGAAGGCCUUCGGGUUUUAAAGUACUUUCAGCGAGGAGGCGUUACGCGCAGAAGAAGCACCGGCUAACUCCGUGCCAGCAGCCGCGGUAAUUC